AGCUUUGCACAGUGGCAGUAUGGUAGCCAAUGAGGUUUACUGAGGUGAGAUUAUUGCUAGUUGAAAACUCUUCCCAAUACCCUGCCAUGAUGACUUGAAAUAUAGUCGGCCUUGGCAAUGUUUGACACUCCCUACGAGA
ensembl:snRNA U4 U4 spliceosomal RNA